rnacentral:rRNA from 1 species
AGUGAACGCUGGCGGUAGGCCUAACACGUGCAAGUCGAAUGGCAGCACAGUAAGAGCUUGCUCUUACGGGUGGCGAGUGGCGGACGGGUGAGGAAUACAUCGGAAUCUACUUUUUCGUGGGGGAUAACGUAGGGAAACUUACGCUAAUACCGCAUACGACCUACGGGUGAAAGCAGGGGAUCUUCGGACCUUGCGCGAUUGAAUGAGCCGAUGUCGGAUUAGCUAGUUGGCGGGGUAAAGGCCCACCAAGGCGACGAUCCGUAGCUGGUCUGAGAGGAUGAUCAGCCACACUGGAACUGAGACACGGUCCAGACUCCUACGGGAGGCAGCAGUGGGGAAUAUUGGACAAUGGGCGCAAGCCUGAUCCAGCCAUACCGCGUGGGUGAAGAAGGCCUUCGGGUUGUAAAGCCCUUUUGUUGGGAAAGAAAAGCAGCAGGUUAAUACCCCGCUGUUCUGACGGUACCCAAAGAAUAAGCACCGGCUAACUUCGUG